CCGAAGUGAUUUGUCAACGCGUCUUGUGUUAAUUUUUUUGCGGUUAUCUAUCACAUCACAGAUCUAACAACUUACAAGUUCAAUGGAGUAAGUGAUCGAAUCUUUAAAAACAUGGGAGUUGGAGAACUUAAUACGAAAAUUCACCACCCCGGAAUCGGACGCUAAUAAAACCAUGUUCCGAUGGUAAUAGGCGACGCCCAGCGUGCCCGGGUGUUGAAAUAAGUG